rnacentral:rRNA from 1 species
UACGAAGGGUGCAAACGUUGCUCGGAAUUAUUGGGCGUAAAGCGCACGUAGGCGGCAUUGCAAGUCGGAUGUGAAAUCUUAUGGCUUAACCAUAAAAGUGCAUCCGAAACUGCAGUGCUUGAGUACUUAAGAGGAUCGCGGAAUUCCCGGUGUAGAGGUGAAAUUCGUAGAUAUCGGGAGGAACACCGAUGGCGAAGGCAGGUCUCUGGGCCACUACUGACGCUGAGAAGCGAAAGCAUGGGGAGCGAACAGG